CUAAAGCCGGGCCAGCAUCCGCGGUCAAACGGAAAAACCAAUCGGGAUCCGGAAUUACUGGGCGUAAAGAGUUGAGUAGGUGGCAUAGUAAGCAGAUAGUGAAAUUGUGUUGCUCAACCAUACACCCAUUAUCUGAACUGCUAAGCUAGAGUAUAUGAGAGGUAGCUGGAAUUCCUAGUGUAGGAGUGAAAUCCGUAGAUAUUAGGAGGAACACCGAUGGCGUAGGCAGGCUACUGGCAUAUUACUGACACUAAGGCACGAAAGCGUGGGGAGCGAACGGGAUUAGAUACCCGAGUAGUC
rnacentral:rRNA from 1 species